GACGAACGCUGGCGGCGUGCCUAAUACAUGCAAGUAGAACGCUGAAGGAGGAGCUUGCUUCUCUGGAUGAGUUGCGAACGGGUGAGUAACGCGUAGGUAACCUGCCUGGUAGCGGGGGAUAACUAUUGGAAACGAUAGCUAAUACCGCAUAACAGUAGAUAUCGCAUGAUAUCUACUUGAAAGGUGCAAUUGCAUCACUACCAGAUGGACCUGCGUUGUAUUAGCUAGUUGGUGAGGUAACGGCUCACCAAGGCGACGAUACAUAGCCGACCUGAGAGGGUGAUCGGCCACACUGGGACUGAGACACGGCCCAGACUCCUACGGGAGGCAGCAGGAGGGAAUCUUCGGCAAUGGACGGAAGUCUGACCGAGAAACGCCGCGGGAGUGAAGAAGGUUUUCGGAUCGUAAAGCUCGGUUGUAAGAGAAGAACGAGUGUGAGAGUGGAAAGUUCACACUGUGACGGUAUCUUACCAGAAAGAGACGGCUAACUACGUG
rnacentral:rRNA from 1 species